CGGGCCGUCCGACCCAUCGCUGCGCGGGAGGGUAGGUCCUCCGCGCGUAGAGCAAAGUCCGGACUCGUAGAAGAGACCGCUCGGGCCAACAACCCGAGGGGCGGCGGCGAGAGCCGGCCGUCACGUCAAGUGCAACAGAGAGCAGACCAGCCGAUGGUCCCGGGCAUCGCCCGGGACACAGGUGAUGGGUGAAAGGGUGGGGUAAGAGCCCACCGGCGGUAUCCCGCGAGGGACCGGCCAGGUAAACGACCGGCGCGAGCAAGCCAAAGUAGCGAAGGACCUUUCCCUGCGGGGAUGGUCCGGAGCAGGUAGGCGCAGCCCCUCCGAGGAGGGGCCGGGGCUUCGGAAGAGGUCCCGAGAUGGAUGAUGGGAUAGAGCAGAAUCCGGCUUACGGGGCGGCCCGGGCU
rfam:Rubrobacter radiotolerans strain RSPS-4, complete genome.